GGCUGUGUGAAUAGCAGAGGGGAAACACCUGUUCCCAUCCCGAACACAGAAGUUAAGCCCUCUAGCAGCCAUGGUACUGCAGUCCUAACUGUGGGAGAGUCGCCCCAUGCAGCCC
rnacentral:rRNA from 1 species